rnacentral:rRNA from 1 species
GACGAACGCUGGCGGCGUGCCUAAUACAUGCCAGUCGAACGAGAGCGCCCGGUGCUUGCACUGGUCAAUCUAGUGGCGAACGGGUGAGUAACACGUGGGUAACCUGCCCAUCAGAGGGGGAUAACAUCCGGAAACGGAUGCUAAAACCGCAUAGGUCUUCGAGCCGCAUGGCUUGAAGAGGAAAAGAGGCGCAAGCUUCUGCUGAUGGAUGGACCCGCGGUGCAUUAGCUAGUUGGUGAGGUAACGGCUCACCAAGGCCGUGAGCCAUAGCCGACCUGAGAGGGUGAUCGGCCACAUUAGAACUGAGACACGGCCCAAACUCCUACGGGAGGCAGCAGUAGGGAAUCUUCCGCAAUGGACGCAAGUCUGACGGAGCAACGCCGCGUGAGUGAAGAAGGUUUUCGGAUCGUAAAACUCUGUUGUUAGAGAAGAACAAGUGCUAGAGUAACUGUUAGCGCCUUGACGGUAUCUAACCAGAAAGCAACGGCUAACUACGUG